rnacentral:rRNA from 1 species
CAGGCUGCAACUCGCCUGCACGAAGUCGGAAUUGCUAGUAAUCGUAGGUCAGCAUACUACGGUGAAUACGUUCCCGGGCCUUGUACACACCGCCCGUCAAACCAUGAGAGUUGGCAACACCCGAAGUCGGUAGUCUAACCGCAAGGAGGACGCCGCCGAAGGUGGGGAUGAUGAUUAGGGUUAAGUCGUAACAAGGUAAC